GAUGAACGCUAGCGAUAGGCUUAACACAUGCAAGUCGAGGGGCAGCACAAGGUCGCUUGCUAUCUGGGUGGCGACCGGCGCACGGGUGCGUAACGCGUAUGCAACUUGCCCUAUACAGGAGGAUAACCCGUCGAAAGACGGACUAAUACUGCGUAUGCUCACAACUUGGCAUCAAGUGGUGAGGAAAGAAAUUCGGUAUAGGAUAGGCAUGCGUCCCAUUAGCUUGUUGGUGAGGUAACGGCUCACCAAGGCAACGAUGGGUAGGGGAACUGAGAGGUUUAUCCCCCACACUGGUACUGAGACACGGACCAGACUCCUACGGGAGGCAGCAGUGAGGAAUAUUGAUCAAUGGGCGCGAGCCUGAACCAGCCAAGUCGCGUGAAGGAUGACUGUCUUAUGGAUUGUAAACUUCUUUUAUACGGGAAUAACAAGAGUCACGUGUGACUCCCUGCAUGUACCGUAUGAAUAAGCAUCGGCUAACUCCGUG
rnacentral:rRNA from 1 species